CCCGAGUACCGCAAGGCGGAAGUAGUUUCCAGGCGUUUCGCUCAGGACCCGGGCAGGCAUAAAGUUUGUACUGCCCUCGCGCGUUGCCAAGGAUCUUUGCAAAGCGUCAGUCUCAUUCAUCACAUGCUUCAUGAGUUGGUGAAAGUCUCUGUGGCAAACCCAGCACCUUUUUGUUUGAGAUGUCACCAGUGUGCCAGAGGAACCCCUCCAAAGGCGCAGUGAGAAAGAAUGGAUCUGGAGGCUUCAUGCAGACAGCUUGAAUUCUCAGUUCCCUCCAGCAGGUGAAUGUCAGAAUCUGCCCUCAACAGAGCCGAGCCAGCCACUGGGAACACACAGGCAAGACCAGCCACCUCAUUCACCAUGUAUGCACCGCAUCCACCCACCUCUGAAGUUACAGCCUCCCUCCGAUUGCAGAAAACAUUCCUUGCACCACUUCAAGAUCAUUCACAAGCUGCAGCUCUUCCCAUGCCACCUCCACAGACAUCAAGGAGUUUUCAGGGUAAAGUGCUGUAUUUAUCGUAUUGCUCAUCUAUUUCUUGACCACAUAAUAUAUGUAAAACUAUGUUACUGUUUUUAUUAAGUUAUUGUCUUAUUUUUUGAAUGUGUCACUGAAGAAGGUUUUUUUUUUAACCUCGUUUUUGCCAUAAGUUGUGUGGUUUGGAUUGUGUGAUUUUACAUAGCACAGAGCUCUUUUAAGAACACAUUAUAGCAGAACUGGUUGUAUUUCUUGCAAAUUGGCAGCUGGGUCCAGAAUCAUCAGACUCACAUUCUUCCCUUUGGUAGUAUGUUCUCUCAACCGAAGGUGCCUACUGUCUCAUUUCUGUGAAGGUAGUGGAUACCCAGGCAGUUAAUGCCUCCAUCCAUCAUUUCAUUAAGGGCAGCAAAAUGGCGAUAUUCAAUUAAUCCUUUUCAUUAUUAAUUGGAAUACUUUAUAAGGAAAUGUCUCCCCUUAUCUAUGAUUUUGGACACUUCCUAUAGGAAAGGCAAGAUGAAUGCUUGAUUCUUUCCCUCUAUUUAUUAGUUUUCAAGAUAAUAAAUUCAUUUCCUAUCAUCCCCCCAAAAGGUAAGCAAGUAGGCUUUAUUUUAUAAUAUCAUUAUGAACUCAUGAAUUUAAAAUAUUUGUUGGGUUUCAAUCUAUUGCAAUUACUAUUCAAAUUACUCCAUCUUUGGCCAGUGAGGGACUCUUCACUUUGGUUCCUGAGACCUUUGACAUGACCCCAGUAAAUCUUUAAUAGCACCCUUGGCUCUCUGAUGAUAGCAUGACUGAACAUGAGGUUCCAGGCUCAUUUUGUCAUUUCCUGUCUCAGAACUGGAGUCUGCCAUUUGUUCCAAAGGCCCUGGUUUCUUUAAGCAAGAAAUUAUUUUUGAAAACAACAAUCUAUUCCUGGGAGUAUAUGUAGUGGGCUCGUCACUGCUUGUAGACAAAUCCCGAGGGCAGAACUAUAGAUAUAGAUACAGAGAUAUGAUACUUCUUGAGUGUUAAGUCCUAUUUCCAAUUCAAAUUCAGGACUAUGGAAUACUUUACUUAUUAACCUCUAUCCUAUUUCAUCUGUUAUCUCCUCUUUCCACAUUGAAGAUUCUAAUUCUCAAGGAUGCAGGAAGAUAAAAUUAGAAUAUCUCACAAUUACUUUUUUUCCUACAUUAUAUAUACAACACUCUCAGAAUAUUAAUACCAUCACCAGUAAAAAUUACUGAGAACAGUUCAGAAUUUUCUAUAUAUUAUCCCCAUUUCUUUCAAUUUUUUAAAAAUUGUUAGACUAAGCAUACCAUCAUUAUAUGUCAUACUCUCACUCUUUGAUCCUCAUCGCAUUUCAGUUCUUUAAGUAACUGCAUGAUUAAUGCUCACUGCCGGUUCUUCUGUCAGGGUCCCUCUGUAAUUCGUUUGUGUGAAACGCAUUCUACAGUCACUGAUUCCUCAGCAAGGACUCGCGGCAAGACUGUUCCCUCAAGUUUUCUGUGUUGAUAUCUCUGUGUGCCCUUUAUCAACUUCAGUUUGACUGGAUAUAAGAUCCCCAGCUCACAUUUCAUUUCCUUGAACAUCAUAAAUACCUUACUCUAUUUUCUUCUGGCAUAAGAGUAUGAUGAUAAUGUACUUUUCUUUCCCUCGUAAAUCACUUGCUGUUUUUGCCUACCUGCCCAAAGGAUUUUUUUUUCUUUUUCUUUAAUUUCUAAUAACGUUUGUAAAAUAUGUCUAGUGUUGCUGUUAUGGUUUAGUAUUGUCAGGUAGCUGUGUGCUGUUUCAGUACCUAGUUUCAAGUUUUUAGGCAACUGUUUUUUUACACGAGGUAUAAACAUGCAAUAAAAUGUAUAUAUCUGGAGUUCCCAUCAUAGCUCAGUGGUUAACGAAUCUGACUGGGAAC